CCUACGGGUGGCUGCAGUGGGGAAUAUUGCACAAUGGGCGCAAGCCUGAUGCAGCCAUGCCGCGUGUGUGAAGAAGGCCUUCGGGUUGUAAAGCACUUUCAGCGGGGAGGAAGGCGGUGAGGUUAAUAACCUCAUCGAUUGACGUUACCCGCAGAAGAAGCACCGGCUAACUCCGUGCCAGCAGCCGCGGUAAUACGGAGGGUGCAAGUGUUAAUCGGAAUUACUGGGCGUAAAGCGCACGCAGGCGGUCUGUCAAGUCGGAUGUGAAAUCCCCGGGCUCAACCUGGGAACUGCAUUCGAAACUGGCAGGCUAGAGUCUUGUAGAGGGGGGUAGAAUUCCAGGUGUAGCGGUGAAAUGCGUAGAGAUCUGGAGGAAUACCGGUGGCGAAGGCGGCCCCCUGGACAAAGACUGACGCUCAGGUGCGAAAGCGUGGGGAGCAAACAGGAUUAGAUACCCUUGUAGUC
rnacentral:rRNA from 1 species